CGAGGAAGGCACCGAGAGUCCCUCUCCGUAAACGCAUUAGGAAUCGUUGCGGGAGGAGGGUGUGCUGGGAGCAGGCUGGGGCUCAACACCGGCGCGUUUCCGCCUUUCAUCCGCAGCUCUGUACCAAUCGCGGGAUGAUUGCGACAAACAAUCCGGUGAGAGAAACCCCUCAUUUCGUUGCGGGAGGCGAUGGCCGUUCUCCGCCCGCGCGGAGCCGCUCCGCUCCCCCCGGUGCCGCGUUCGGGGCAGCCGGGAAAGGGGACCCGCAGAUUUGUUUUACGAAACUUAAAAGCAGAACCGGACCCACUGCGGGAGAAACCGGCUCACCCCUGGCAGAAGACUUUGCCAUUAGCAAAGGGUUAAAGCAGGGGGGGGAGAGGGGGGGGGUUAUUCAUCUUGCGCCAUAGAUUUGGUUCUUUCCCCGCUGAGGUUGUUCUCCAUCGGGUAGCUCCGGUCUCCUCCCGCUGCGCGGCUCUCCGCAGCCCCAUCUCCUCGGGGCGCCCCUGCGCCGGCCUUUGAGUUUCCCUUCUCUCUUUGGGCCAGGGCCGGGCUACGGCGGGGACCCUCACCCCUCCAGCCCUCUCCUCUGCCUCUCUUCCCCCGUACGUUUGCAUUAAAACAUCCGUCCUGGGUUUAA